AACGAACGCUGGCGGCAUGCCUAACACAUGCAAGUCGAACGAGACCUUCGGGUCUAGUGGCGCACGGGUGCGCAACGCGUGGGAACCUGCCCUUAGGUUCGGAAUAACUCCCCGAAAGGGGUGCUAAUACCGGAUAAUGUCUUCGGACCAAAGAUUUAUCGCCUUUGGAUGGGCCCGCGUUGGAUUAGCUAGUUGGUAGGGUAAAAGCCUACCAAGGCGACGAUCCAUAGCUGGUCUGAGAGGAUGAUCAGCCACACUGGGACUGAGACACGGCCCAGACUCCUACGGGAGGCAGCAGUGGGGAAUAUUGGACAAUGGGCGAAAGCCUGAUCCAGCAAUGCCGCGUGAGUGAUGAAGGCCUUAGGGUUGUAAAGCUCUUUUACCCGGGAUGAUAAUGACAGUACCGGGAGAAUAAGCGCCGGCUAACUCCGUG
rnacentral:rRNA from 1 species